rnacentral:lncRNA from 1 species
AGCAAAUCUGACAGGAGUAGAAUUGUUAAACAGGUGAAGAUCUAUCUGCCCUGAAAUUUUCAGAUGAAUCGGAUAACCUGUUGUUUGGUUGCUGCCCCUGAAUUAGUAAUUUUAAGGAAAUUUUGCGGUUUUUGGUUAUUAUCUUGAAUAUUAUUAUAGAUAGAGAUAAACAGUAAACAGCAAUAAUGUUCAGCAAAGUAAGAUUUACAAAUAAGUCAACAUGACGGAAAUGGUCAGUUGACCCCUUUAGGAGUUAUAGCCCUUUAUAGUCAAUUUUUAACCAUUUUUCGUAAAUCUUAGUAAUCUUUUACAAAAAUCUUCUCCUCUGAAACUACUGGGCCAAAUACUUCCAAACUUUAACUGAAUGUUCCUUAGGGUAUCUAGUUUGUAAAUUGUAUCCGAAGUUAUGAUCUAUCAACAAAAAUGGUCGCCAUUGCUAAAAAUAGAACAUAGGGGUCAAAUGCAGUUUUUGGCUUAUAACUCAAAAACCAAAGCAUUUAGAGCAAAUCUGAUGUUGGGUAAUAUUGUUUAUCAGGUCAAGAUCUAUCUGCCCUGAAAUUUUCAGAUGAAUCAAACAACCUGUUGUUGGGUUGCUGCCCCUGAAUUGAUAAUUUUAAGGAAAUUUUGCUGUUUUUGUUUAUUAUCUUGAAUAUAAUUAUAGAUAGAAAUAAACUGUCAACAGCAAUAAU